rnacentral:lncRNA from 1 species
GUUGGCUGAUCACCCGCGUCGUUUUGAGGGUUUGGAAAUGACGGGUGAGCGACGGUGAAGUUCUGGUGCGAUUUUCGGGACUUCCGGUUUAUUCAGUAAUCGGUUUUGGGAAACCGGUCAUGGUUCUGGUGAGCAGGGGUCGUGAGUUAGCUUUUCAUGUCAGUGGGUUAGACCUUAACCCGUUGGACCUUUCGUAGGUUCG